rnacentral:tRNA from 1 species
GCGCCUGUAGCUCAAUUGGAUAGAGCAACGGCCUUCUAAGCCGUAGGUUGCAGGUUCGAGACCUGCCAGGCGCGCCA